rnacentral:misc_RNA from 1 species
GCGGCGAGUGAGCGGCAAAAGCUCAAAUUUGAAAUCUGGCACCUUCGGUGUCCGAGUUGUAAUUUGAAGAUUGUAACCUUGGGGUUGGCUCUUGUCUAUGUUUCUUGGAACAGGACGUCACAGAGGGUGAGAAUCCCGUGCGAUGAGAUGCCCAAUCCUAUGUAAGGUGCUUUCGAAGAGUCGAGUUGUUUGGGAAUGCAGCUCUAAGUGGGUGGUAAAUUCCAUCUAAAGCUAAAUAUUGGCGAGAGACCGAUAGCGAACAAGUACAGUGAUGGAAAGAUGAAAAGAACUUUGAAAAGAGAGUGAAAAAGUACGUGAAAUUGUUGAAAGGGAAGGGUUUGAGAUCAGACUCGAUAUUUUGUGAGCCUUGCCUUCGUGGCGGGGUGACCCGCAGCUUAUCGGGCCAGCAUCGGUUUGGGCGGUAGGAUAAUGGCGUAGGAAUGUGACUUUGCUUCGGUGAAGUGUUAUAGCCUGCGUUGAUGCUGCCUGCCUAGACCGAGGACUGCGAUUUUAUCAAGGAUGCUGGCAUAAUGAUCCCAAACCGCCCGUCUUGA